AUUGAACGCUGGCGGAAUGCUUUACACAUGCAAGUCGAACGGCAGCACGGGGCAACCUGGUGGCGAGUGGCGAACGGGUGAGUAAUACAUCGGAACGUGCCCAAUCGUGGGGGAUAACGUAGCGAAAGUUACGCUAAUACCGCAUACGAUCUACGGAUGAAAGCGGGGGAUCGCAAGACCUCGCGCGAAUGGAGCGGCCGAUGUCAGAUUAGGUAGUUGGUGGGGUAAAGGCUCACCAAGCCAACGAUCUGUAGCUGGUCUGAGAGGACGACCAGCCACACUGGAACUGAGACACGGUCCAGACUCCUACGGGAGGCAGCAGUGGGGAAUUUUGGACAAUGGGCGAAAGCCUGAUCCAGCCAUUCCGCGUGCAGGAUGAAGGCCCUCGGGUUGUAAACUGCUUUUGUACGGAACGAAAAGGUCCUGGUUAAUACCUGGGGCUCAUGACGGUACCGUAAGAAUAAGCACCGGCUAACUACGUGCCAGCAGCCGCGGUAA
rnacentral:rRNA from 1 species